rnacentral:lncRNA from 1 species
UUGAAGAAUGUUUCUAAGCCCAUUUUUGCCAUCUAGAAAACAAGAUGCAUGACAUUAAUCUGUGAUCCCUCAAACACUAUGGUGAAAUAAAUAGAAUGAGAAAUGGUGGGAAGAGGCCUAGUUGCCAUCACAGAAAAUGGAUGCUAAGUGGAGAUGGAUUGGACCUUAAAUAUCACAAUUGCAUCCCAGGACCUGGUUCUUAAUUUUAAGUCACAGAAAGUCACUCUUGUUUGAGACCAGGGAAUGUCAUGCCUUAGCUCCCUCUAACUAAACACCCACAAAAACCAAGUUAAAGACUAUAAUGCCAAUUUAGGAUUGUUAUGUCAUCCAAGUAAGCACUGUGCAUGUGUUCUUCCAUCACUGAACCAGGACAAGUCCCUUGGGCCAAGACCCCCUUCCCAAUGAGAUCACCCUCACUUGAGCACCUCCACAGUGACAAUCUGGAACCAUCACUGCCCCUACACAAUCACACAGGAGACUGAAGUUGCUAUCACAAUGCCAAUGAAUUAAUUUACAAUUAGACAUAUAGGAUGAGUACUUGCAGAAUGAGCACCUUCUUUCAGGUGCAUGGGAAUUUAAUUAUAACCACAAGCCAUUUCUUAUAUCAUAGACAGCCCGUUUCCUAGGACAUAAUGUAUUUAAAAUCUGGGAGAUCAGACAUUUUCUCCAUACUAGGCAAACCUACACUGAGGACCCAAAUCCUAACUAGAGAUUUUGGGCAUGGAAAUGGAAUAAAAGAGGUUAUGCUUAUAGCAAGGGGUAAAAUGAUCUUGUAAUAUACGUCCAUCUUACCCAGGGAAGACUUUAUACCCCUAAAAUUCUUUGGCCAUGCCCCAGGAGCCUUACCAUUGGAAGUAGAAAUACACAUUGUCCAAUACCCAAAUCCCUUUCCCCCCAAAACUGCCCAGGAUAUCUGUGUGUGAGUCUGCUUCCACACGGGACUGAUUCCUCUCCCUACCCCUUUCCUCAGCACCUUCUUGCUUUCUUUCCUCAGACAUGUUUAAUCAAGUUACAAUCUAGACAGGUAACCUGGGAAGCUAUAUUCUCUCUUGCACGGACUUGCUUAUUUAUGGUCAGAUCCAUUCUGUGUGGAUUUCAGAAUUAAGUUCUGAGGGAAAUUCUUACUUUCUGUGUUUGCUGUAAAUCUCAAACACUAAUCACUGAAUAAGCAGCUUAUGACUUUGCUGCCAUGCUGGGCUAGCCAAGCCCUCUGUGAAAUGCGCUGUUCAAGUGGGAGGCAAGGCGGUUGCUCCCACUGGUUCCCUCAUAGGCUUAACAUGAAUUGGUUGUGUUUGUUUCCAAAUCUAUUUAUCCCAAACCAGGUAUUGUAAUUUUAUAGUUUAAUUAAAUUUAAAAACAUAAAACAUGAGUUUAAAAAGAAAAUUCUUUGGGCACCUGAGUGACUCAGUGGUUGAGCGUCUGCCUUUAGCUCAGGUCGUGAUCCCAGGAUCCUCAGAUUGAGCCCCACAUCAGGCUCCCAGCUCGGUGGGGAGCCUGCUUCUCCCUCUGUCUCUGCCUCUGCCUCUGCUCCAGCUUGUGCUUGCCCUCUGUCACUCUUGCAAAUAAAUAAAUAAAAUCUUUUUUAAAAAAUUGAAUAUUAAUAAGUAAAUUUAAUGUUACACUUUAAUAUUAAAGUACAUUUGUUAAGAAGUGUACUUCCAUGGAUGGCAGCCAUCAUUAUUAUCCUAUUGUUGUUAUCACUCAUACUGCAUACUGCAUCACUCUCAUCUAACUCAGUUGGGACUCAGGGUAUCAAAAAUAUCAGUUAGAGCAAGGAAUCCUAGAAAUCAAUAGAUGCAUACUUGGUACAAACAUUUUCUUGUCUAUUAGAAUACAUAAACACACAUCUUCUCCAGGUCUUUUGAUACAGGGACAGUAUCAUUCAUUUUAAUAUGGCUUCCUGUUGGUCUCAUGCAUAAAGCACACCCAUAGGGUUUUGUCCACAAUCUCCAGUUUCCAGUGUCUUUAGUGUGGUGCAAAUUCAAAGAUAGCUGUAGGCCAAUCUGGGUGCAAAGCCCUACAUUUUUAUAACCUUCUCCAAUAUUUGUCAUUGUCUUAGUCAACAACAGAAUUAACUAUUCACCUGUAUUGAGUCUUCUCAAAGCUUUUAGCUGAGUUUUCAUAAAAGAAUUUUCUUUUACUUUUUAAAAAGAUUUUAUUUAUUUAUUAAUGAAAGACACAGAAAGAGAGACAGAGACAUAGGCAGAGAGAGAAGCAGUCUUUCUGUGAGGAUGCUUAACUGACUGAGCCACCCAGGCACCCCUUAAUAUGCAAUUCAAUUACAAAUUGUCUUCUAAAGCAAUGCAUAAACAAGUAGGCCUUCUUGCUCAAUAUUUCUCUUUUCUUUCUAAACUUCCCUUGGGAAGUCUAAGUUGUAGUAUCAACUCCAGGGAGUUUCUACUGUGAGUAUCAAAGUCACUGUUCUCUGAUCUUUCCCUGUGGCCAGGAGGUACUGCUUCAUUAAGAUGCAACCUUUGUUGGGCAGUAUGUGAGACACUGGUUUCCUUCGCACUUUUAGGUAUCAUCUUGAGUAAAACAAUUUCUUGCCUAAUCAGAUGAGCUUUUGCUUAAGGACUAUGUGAACCUAUUGCCUGGGUAUACACUAUAUUCAGAGAUGCUCAUUCUUUUUAAAAAAUUUUAAUUCCAGUAUAAUUAACAUACAGCAUUGUAUUAGUGUCAGGUGCACAAUAUAGUGAUUCAACAAUUCUAUCCAUUAUUCAGUACUUAUCAUGAUUAAGUGUACUCUUCUUAAUCCCCUUCACCUCUUUCACCCGUUCUUGUACCGACCUCCCUGCUGGUAUCCAUCAGUUUGUGCUCUAUUUAAGAGUCUGUUUUUUUUUUUGUCUGUGUCUUUUUUUCUUUGUUGCUUUGUUUUGUUUCUUAAAUUCAACAUAUGAGUGAAAUCAUAUGGUAUUUGUCAUUAUCUGACGGACUUAUUUCAAUUAACAUUAUACUCUUUAGACCUGUCUAUAUUGUUGGAAAUGGCAAGAUUUCCAUUCUUUUUUAUGACUUCUUUAUGUUCUUUUCUAUGACUAAGUAAUAUUCCAGUGUGUGUGUGUGUGUGUGUGUGUGUGUGUGUACCGCAUCUUCUUUAUGUAUUCAUCUAUUGGAUACUUGGACUAUUUCCAUAAUCUGGCUACUGUAAACAGUACUGCAAUAAACAUAGCAGUACAUAUAUCUCUUCAAUAUGCUCAUUGUCCUCCACAGAACUGCAUUUUGAAUCAGGAACUCCAAAGUCCUUGGUGACAGCGAGAUAAUGCUUCCUUUUCAGUUCUCACUCCUCCCAAUCCUUUUUAGUAAGUUUUCCCUGGUUCUACCUUUUGGCUCUGGGUCUUACUCUCUCCUCAAAGUCUGCAGGGGCAAGAGUGCCACUGAUUCCUACAUCUUUGAAUUGGAUUUCCAUCUCCUACCAACUCUGAUCUCUGGGAAGGUAAAAACCAAAGUUUAAAUACCUACCUGGGGACAUGACCUCAUAAGUUAGGGCUAAAGAAGCUCAAGUUAAUUUACAAAAUGCCAUGUGGAAACAUUAAUAAACUCACAAUUAUAGGAUUAGGGGAGGGGCACGAGAUAAUAUUAAUGUAGUCCUUUAAUAAUUUGCCAUAUUAAACUCAGAGUAUAUUUAUUUGAAGAAUGCCCGGGAAAAUAUACAAUGCUUGAAUUUAAUGUAAAUGAGACACUUAAUUGGAGAGACUGAAAAGGGCAUUUUAUAUUAGUUUUUAAAAUCAAUUUCCAUUAUUAAAUAGAAGCAUAGAAACAAACUGAAGAUAGUAUAGAUCAGGAUGUCUUUUUAUUUUUUUUUGCAAAAAAAGAAGGGUAUUGCUACUCAUAAUUACAAGAAAUGGAUGACAAUAUUUUAAAUGAGUUAACUUUGGCCCACUAUGCUCACUUCAUGGUGUGAAGAAAACAGCACUUGAGUGAUUUUUUCCUUAAUUUGUUCUAAAUUAUAGUAAAGUGCUCUGCAAGAAGCAAGUGCUUGUGUUAAUUAACUCUGAGUAAAGAAGGUCACUGGUAUACAUGGGACUCAUUUUGUGGUUUUUAGUUAUGGAUUUUCUUCUGCAAUUACAAUUCUUCAUUAUGCAUUAUGUAGCAUGUAGAUUUUCAAUUUUUUAUCUAGCAUUUCAAAUUUAGGCACAUUUGUUUAUUUCUCUCUUCAAAAUUUAAAAUGCAGCAACAAUAAUGGAAUUGACUUAAAUGGAACAUAUGGCUUGACAUAUUUAUAAAUAUACCUAAAAUAUUGGCCAUUUAUGUAAGCCUGAAUAUUACAGCUGAGGUUUUUUUUUUUUUGGUAUUUUAAAAAGUUUUAAUUCCAGCAUAAUUAAUAUACAGUGUUACAUUAGUUUCAGGCAUACAAUAUAGUGAUUCAGCAAUUCUAUUCAUUACUCAGUUCUCAUCAGGAUAAGUGUACUCU